rnacentral:rRNA from 1 species
AUUGAACGCUGGCGGCAGGCCUAACACAUGCAAGUCGAGCGAGCGGCGGACGGGUGAGUAAUGUAUGGGGACUGCCCGAUAGAGGGGGAUAACUACUGGCAACGGUGGCUAAUACCGCAUACUAUCGGAUAACCCAUAUGGGAUUAGCUAGUAGGUGGGGUAAAGGCUCACCUAGGCGACGAUCUCUCGCUGGUCUGAGAGGAUGAUCAGCCAUAAUGGGAGUGAAACACGGCCCAGACGCCGGGGGAGGUAGCAGGGGGAAAUAUUGCACAAGGGGCGCAAGCCUGAUGCAGCCAUGCCGCGUGUAGGAAGAAGGCCUUAGGUUUGUAAAGUACUUUCAUCGGGGAGGCGUUACCCGCAGAAGAAGCACCGGCUAACACCGUGCCAGCAGCCGCGGUAAUAC